rnacentral:rRNA from 1 species
GACGAACGCUGGCGGCGUGCCUAAUACAUGCAAGUCGAGCGAAGUUUUUCUGGUGCUUGCACCGGAAAAACUUAGCGGCGAACGGGUGAGUAACACGUAAAGAACCUGCCUCAUAGACUGGGACAACUAUUGGAAACGAUAGCUAAUACCGGAUAAUAGCAUUAACUGCAUGGUUGAUGUUUAAAAGUUGGUUUUGCUAACACUAUGAGAUGGCUUUGCGGUGCAUUAGCUAGUUGGUGGGGUAAAGGCCUACCAAGGCGACGAUGCAUAGCCGACCUGAGAGGGUGAUCGGCCACACUGGGACUGAGACACGGCCCAGACUCCUACGGGAGGCAGCAGUAGGGAAUCUUCCGCAAUGGGCGAAAGCCUGACGGAGCAACGCCGCGUGAGUGAAGAAGGAUUUCGGUUCGUAAAGCUCUGUUGUUAGGGAAGAAUGAUUGUGUAGUAACUAUACACAGUAGAGACGGUACCUAACCAGAAAGCCACGACUAACUACGUG